rnacentral:rRNA from 1 species
AUGAACGCUGGCGGCGUGCCUAAUACAUGCAAGUCGAGCGAACAGAUGAGGAGCUUGCUCCUCUGACGUUAGCGGCGGACGGGUGAGUAACACGUGGAUAACCUACCUAUAAGACUGGGAUAACUUCGGGAAACCGGAGCUAAUACCGGAUAAUAUAUUGAACCGCAUGGUUCAAUAGUGAAAGACGGUUUUGCUGUCACUUAUAGAUGGAUCCGCGCCGCAUUAGCUAGUUGGUAAGGUAACGGCUUACCAAGGCAACGAUGCGUAGCCGACCUGAGAGGGUGAUCGGCCACACUGGAACUGAGACACGGUCCAGACUCCUACGGGAGGCAGCAGUAGGGAAUCUUCCGCAAUGGGCGAAAGCCUGACGGAGCAACGCCGCGUGAGUGAUGAAGGUCUGCGGAUCGUAAAACUCUGUUAUUAGGGAAGAACAAAUGUGUAAGUAACUAUGCACGUCUUGACGGUACCUAAGCAGAAAGCCACGGCUAACUACGU